GACGAACGCUGGCGGCGUGCCUAAUACAUGCAAGUCGAACGCAGUGGGGACGGGUGAGUAACCCGUGGGUAACCUCCCCCUCAGAGGGGAUAAAACUUGGAAACAGGUGCUAAACAGAUACUGCUGGAUGGACCCGCGGUGCAUUAGCUAGUUGGUAAGGUAACGGCUCACCAAGGCCACGAUGCAUAGCCGACCUGGGAUGGUGAUCGGCCAAAAUGGGACUGAGACACGGCCCAUACUCCUGCGGGAGGCAGCAGUAGGGAAUCUUCGGCAAUGGACGAAAGUCUGACCGAGCAACGCCGCGUGAGUGAAGAAGGUUUUCGGAUCGUAAAACUCUGUUGUUAGAGAAGCGGUAUCUAACCAGAAAGCCACGGCUAACUACGUGCCAGCAGCCGCGGUAAUUC
rnacentral:rRNA from 1 species